CCCUUAGAUGUCCGGGGCUGCACGCGCGCUACACUGAAGGAAUCAGCGUGCUAAAACCAUUGUCGAAAGGCAUUGGUAAACCCAUUAAAAUCCUACGUGAUUGGGAUCGGGAAUUGCAAUUAUUUCCCUUGAACGAGGAAUUCCCAGUAAGUGUGGGUCAUAAGCUCGCGUUGAUUACGUCCCCGCCCUUUGUACACACCGCCCGUCGCUGCCCGGGACUGAGCCGUUUCGAGAAAAGCGGGGACUGCUGCUGUCGGGGCUUUCGGGCCUUGGCUUCGGUGGAAACCGCUUUAAUCGCAGUGGCUUGAACCGGGCAAAAGUCGUAACA
rnacentral:rRNA from 1 species